UCCCUGGUAGUCCAGUGGCUAAGACACCACACUCCCUAAUGCAGGGGGCCCAGGUUCAAUCCCUGGUCAGGGAA
rnacentral:tRNA from 1 species